GGGGAUGAUGUCGAAGUCAGCAUGGCCUUUAUAUCCUGGGCUACACACACGCUACAAUGGCCAACACAAGUAGGUUGCUAAGCCGCGAGGUGGCGCCAAUCCAUAAAGUUGGUCUCAGUUCAGAUUGUAGGCUGCAACCCGCCUGCAUGAAGAUGGAGUUGCUAGUAACCGCAGGUCAGCUAUACUGCGGUGAAUACGUUCCCGGGGCUU
rnacentral:rRNA from 1 species